rnacentral:pre_miRNA from 14 species
CAGGGUGCCAAGUUAAAUUUGAAUUUCAGCAAAGCAACAAAUAAUUUUCAGUAGAAGUAUAUCCCAUGCAAUAUUUGGGACAUACUUAUGCUAAAAAAUUUUAUUUGCUGUUUGUCUGGAAUUCAAAUUUAACUGGGCUCUCUAUA